rnacentral:sRNA from 1 species
GCUGGCUGUGGUGACGCGUACCUGUAAUCCCAGCAUCUUGGGAGGCUGAGGCAGGAGGAUCCCAAGUUUAGAGCCAGCCUCAGCAACUUAGGCCCUAAAUAACUUAAUGAGACCCUAUCUCAA